rnacentral:rRNA from 1 species
AUUGAACGCUGGCGGCAGGCCUAAAACAUGCAAGUCGAGCGAGCGGCGGACGGGUGAGUAAUGGCUGGGAAACUGCCUGAUGGAGGGGGAUAACUGCUGGAAACGGUAGCUCAUACCGCAUACCAUCAGAUGUGGGCAGAUGGGAUUAGCUAGUUGGUGGGGUAACGGCUCACCUAUGCUGCGGUCCCUAGCUGGUCUGAGAGGAUGAUCAGCCACACGUGAACUGGGACACGGUCCAGACUCCUCCGGGAGGCAGCAGUGGGGCAUAUUGCACAAUGGGCGCAAGCCUGAUGCAGCCAUGCCGCGUGUGUGAAGAAGGCCUUCGGGUUGUAAAGCACUGUCAGCGGGGAGGCGUUACCCACAGAAGAAGCACCGGCUAACUCCGUGCCAGCAGCCGCGGUAAUAC